GGAGAGGUGUCCGAGCGGUCGAAGGAGCACGCCUGGAAAGUGUGUAUACGGCAACGUAUCGAGGGUUCGAAUCCCUCCCUCUCCGCCA
rnacentral:tRNA from 4 species